rnacentral:rRNA from 1 species
UACAGAGGGUGCGAGCGUUAAUCGGAAUUACUGGGCGUAAAGUGUGCGCAGGCGGCCGAGCAAGUCGAGUGUGAAAGCCCCGAGCUUAACUUGGGAAUUGCGCUCGAAACUACUUGGCUGGAGUGUGGCAGAGGAAGGUGGAAUUCCAGGUGUAGCGGUGAAAUGCGUAGAGAUCUGGAGGAACACCGAUGGCGAAGGCAGCCUUCUGGGCCAACACUGACGCUCAUGCACGAAAGCGUGGGGAGCAAACAGG